GACGAACGCUGGCGGCGUGCUUAACACAUGCAAGUCGAGCGAAUGGAUUAAGAGCUUGCUCUUAUGGAGUUAGCGGCGGACGGGUGAGUAACACGUGGGUAACCUGCCCAUAAGACUGGGAUAACUCCGGGCAACCGGGGCUAAUACCGGAUAACAUUUUGAACCGCCUGGUUCGAAAUUGAAAGGCGGCUUCGGCUGUCACUUAUGGAUGGACCCGCGUCGCAUUAGCUAGUUGGUGAGGUAACGGCUCACCAAGGCAACGAUGCGUAGCCGACCUGAGAGGGUGAUCGGCCACACUGGGACUGAGACACGGCCCAGACUCCUACGGGAGGCAGCAGUAGGGAAUCUUCCGCAAUGGACGAAAGUCUGACGGAGCAACGCCGCGUGAGUGAUGAAGGCUUUCGGGUCGUAAAACUCUGUUGUUAGGGAAGAACAAGUGCUAGUUGAAUAAGCUGGCACCUUGACGGUACCUAACCAGAAAGCCACGGCUAACUACGUGCCAGCCGCCGCAGUAA
rnacentral:rRNA from 1 species